UACGUAGGGGACAAGCGUUGUCCGGAAUCAUUGGGCGUAAAGAGCGUGUAGGCGGUUUGGUAGGUCCGCUGUGAAAACUCGAGCUCAACCUCGAGACGCCGGUGGAAACCAUCAGACUAGAGUCCGGAAGAGGAGAGUGGGAAUUCCUGGUGUAGCGGUGAAAUGCGCAGAUAUCAGGAAGAACACCCGUGGCUAAGGCGGCUCUCUAGUACGGUACUGACGCUGAGACGCGAAAGCGUGGGGAGCGAACAGG
rnacentral:rRNA from 1 species